rnacentral:rRNA from 1 species
GUGUCAGCCGCCGCGGUAAUACAGAGGGUGCGAGCGUUAAUCGGAUUUACUGGGCGUAAAGGGCGUGUAGGCGGUGGUAUGUGAGAGAUGUGAAAGCCCCGGGCUUAACCUGGGAAGUGCAUUUUUAACUAUAUCACUAGAGUAUAAGAGAGGGUGGCGGAAUUUCCGGUGUAGCGGUGAAAUGCGUAGAGAUCGGAAGGAACGUCAAUGGCGAAGGCAGCCACCUGGCUUAAUACUGACGCUGAAGCGCGAAAGCGUGGGGAGCGAACAGGAUUAGAAACCCUGGUAGUCC